AUGAGCGGUGGCGAUGGCGAAAGCAGCUACGCCGCCAACUCCAGACUUCAAGAGAAGGCCAUACUCAAGUCAAGGCCGCAGCUUCAUGAUGCCGUGGAGGCAGCGCACGCCUUGUUGCUCCCCUCCGGGUCGGGCAAGGGCACGACGAUGGUGGUGGCCGACCUCGGCUGCUCGUCGGGGCCCAACACACUGCUGGUCGUCUCUGAGGUGCUCGGCGCGUUUGCCAGCCGCUGCGAGAAGAAGCCGGUGCACGUCCAGUUCUUCCUGAACGACCUCCCCAGCAACGACUUCAACCUCGUAUUCCGGUCCCUGGAGCUCUUCACCAAGGGCAAGGGAGCAACCUGGCCUCCCUACUACAUUGCCGGGUUGCCAGGCUCCUUCUACGCAAGACUCUUCCCUGACCGGUCCGUCCACCUCUUCUACUCCUACUGCCUCAUGAUACGCUCUAAGGUGCCCGCGGAUCUCGUUAGCGGCGCGAUCCUGAACCAAGGCAACAUAUACAUCUGGGAGACAACGCCGCCGUCAGUGGUGAAGCUGUACCAGGAGCAGUUCCUCGAGGACAUGUCGCUGUUCCUCAAGCUACGCCACACUGAGCUCGUGGCCAGCGGCCAGAUGGUUCUGACAUUCCUGGGCAGGAAGAACAGUGACGUUCUGCGCGGCGAGAUGAGCUACAUCUGGGGGCUCUUCUCCCAAGCUCUCCAGUCCCUAGUUCAACAGGGCCGUGUGGAGAAGGAGAAGAUGGAUUCCUUCAACCUGCCGCUGUACGCGCCUUCCAUUGACGAAGUCGGGGCAGUAAUCGAGCAGAGCGGACUGUUCGACGUCAACCAUAUCCAGCUCUUCGAGCCCAACUGGGAUCCUCAGGAUGACUCGGACGGCGAUGUGGUGCUUGACAGCGCCGAGAGCGGCGUGAACGUCGCCAGGACUGCGCGGGCCAUCAUCGGGCCCAUGCUUGUGCGUCAUUUCGGAGAGCAUGUAAUGGACGGUCUCUUUGAGAUGUACGCACGGAAUGUCGCGAACCACCUCGAGAAAGUGAAGACCAAAUACGCCGUCAUCCUCCUCUCCUUGAAGGCAAGGGACGCUGAGAACUAA
rnacentral:rRNA from 1 species